rnacentral:rRNA from 1 species
AUUGAACGCUGGCGGCAUGCCUUACACAUGCAAGUCGAACGGUAACGGGCCUUCGGGUGCCGACGAGUGGCGAACGGGUGAGUAAUAUAUCGGAACGUGCCCAGUAGUGGGGGAUAGCCCGGCGAAAGCCGGAUUAAUACCGCAUGAGACCUGAGGGUGAAAGCGGGGGAUCGCAAGACCUCGCGCUAUUGGAGCGGCCGAUAUCAGAUUAGCUAGUUGGUGGGGUAAAGGCCUACCAAGGCAACGAUCUGUAGUUGGUCUGAGAGGACGACCAGCCACACUGGGACUGAGACACGGCCCAGUCUCCUACGGGAGGCAGCAGUGGGGAAUUUUGGACAAUGGGCGCAAGCCUGAUCCAGCAAUGCCGCGUGCAGGAAGAAGGCCUUCGGGUUGUAAACUGCUUUUGUCAGGGAAGAAAUCUUCUGGGUUAAUACCUCGGGAGGAUGACGGUACCUGAAGAAUAAGCACCGGCUAACUACGUGCCAGCCGCCGCAGUAAUAC